CGACCCCAUAUCAGGAGGGAUUACCCGCUCAGUUUAAGACUAUCAAUAAAUGGAGGAAAAUAAACUUACAAGGAUUCCCUCAGUAACGACAAGCAAACCAAGAAUAGCCAACCUUAGAAUUGAGCGGCUUCAUCAUCCGAAUUAUAGUCUGGAGAAGCUUCCUCAGUGGCAGACCGGCCCAAGUCCCCUGGAAGGGGUGCUAGAGAGGGUGAGAGCCCCAUUGUGCUAGGACCCUAUCGCACCACGAGGCGCUAUCUAUGAGUCGGGUUGUUUGGGAAUGCAGCCCAAAUCAGGUGGUGAAUUCCGCCCAAGGCUAAAUACGAGCGAGAGGCCGAUAAUG
rnacentral:ncRNA from 1 species